GACGAACGCUGGCGGCGUGCUUAACACAUGCAAGUCGAACGGAAAGGCCCUGCUUUUGUGGGGUGCUCGAGUGGCGAACGGGUGAGUAACACGUGAGUAACCUGUCCUUUUCUUUGGGAUAAGCAUUCGAAAGGGUGUUUAAUACCUUAUGUUCUGUCUGCCUCGCAUGGGGUGGGUGGGAAAGGCUUUGGCUGGAAUUGGGUGGGCUCGCGGUCUAUCAGCUUGUUGGUGGGGUGAUGGCUUACCAAGGCUUUGACGGGUAGCCGGCCUGAGAGGGUGGUCGGUCACAUUGGGACUGAGAUACGGCCCAG
rnacentral:rRNA from 1 species